rnacentral:rRNA from 1 species
GAUGAACGCUGGCGGCGUGCCUAAUACAUGCAAGUCGAGCGAACGGACGGAAUCCUGCUUUUCUGAUGUUAGCGGCGGACGGGUGAGUAACACGUGGAUAACCUACCUAUAAGACUGGGAUAACUUCGGGAAACCGGAGCUAAUACCGGAUAAUAUUUUGAACCGCAUGGUUCAAAAGUGAAAGACGGUCUUGCUGUCACUUAUAGAUGGAUCCGCGGUGCAUUAGCUAGUUGGUAAGGUAACGGCUUACCAAGGCAACGAUGCAUAGCCGACCUGAGAGGGUGAGCGGCCACAGGGGGACUGAGACACGGCCCACACACCGACGGGAGGCAGCAGUAGGGAAACUUCGGCAAUGGACGAAAGUGAGACCGAGCAACGACGCGUGAGUGAAGAAGGUUUUCAGAUCGUAAAAAACUGUUGGGAGAGAAGAACGUGGGGGAGAGUGGAAAGCUCAGCAAGUAAAGGGAACGAACCAGAAAGGGACGGCUAACUACGUG